rnacentral:rRNA from 1 species
UUUUUUGAUUUUAAUAUAAGAUCGAGCCUGCCCAUUGAUUAAAAAUAUUAAAAGGCUGCGGUAUUUUAACUGUACGAAGGUAGCAUAAUCAUUUGUCUUUUAAUUGGAGGCUGGAAUGAAUGGUUUGAUGAAAUAUAUACUUUCUUUAAUUAAUUGAUUUGAAUUUAAUUUUUUAGUUAAAAAGCUAAAAUUUUUUUAUAGGACGAGAAGACCCUAUAGAAGUUAACUUUAUUUAUUAUUUUUAAUUUUUUGUUUAUAUAAUUAUUUAUUUGAAUGUAUAGUUUUGUUGGGGAGACAUUAAAAUUUAUAUAACUUUUAAUAUUUUUUACAUUAAUUUAUGUUUUUAUGAUCCAAAAUUUUUGAUUAAAAGAUUAACUUACCUUAGGGAUAACAGCGUAAUUUUUUCGGAGAGUUCAUAUU